UAAAAAGACUAGGGGUGUCUCUUAAGAGACUGAGAAUAAGAUGUUAUCUUAUACCCUUGUACCUGAUCUGGCUGAUACCAGCGUAGGAAAGUCGAUGCACAUGAUA
rnacentral:ncRNA from 2 species